rnacentral:rRNA from 1 species
GGCCGCGGGAAUUCGAUUCAGGCCUAACACAUGCAAGUCGAACGGGAAACAUUUUAAUGAAGCUUCGGCAGAUUUGGUUUGUUUCUAGUGGCGGACGGGUGAGUAACGCGUGGGUAACCUGCCUCACACUGGGGGAUAACAGUCAGAAAUGGCUGCUAAUACCGCAUAAGCGCACAGAACCGCAUGGUUUUGUGUGAAAAACUCCGGUGGUGUGAGAUGGACCCGCGUUGGAUUAGCCAGUUGGCAGGGUAACGGCCUACCAAAGCGACGAUCCAUAGCCGGCCUGAGAGGGUGAACGGCCACAUUGGGACUGAGACACGGCCCAGACUCCUACGGGAGGCAGCAGUGGGGAAUAUUGCAAGAGGGGGGGAACCCUGAUGCAGCGACGCCGCGUGAUUAAAGGAGUAUCUCGGUAUGUAAACUUCUAUCAGCAGGGAAGAUAAUGAC